rnacentral:rRNA from 1 species
CUCAGAACGAACGCUGGCGGCGCGUUUAAGCAUGCAAGUCGAGCGGUAAGCAUCCUUCGGGAUGCCUAGAGCGGCGAACGGGUGAGUAACACGUAGGUAAUCUGCCGUGCGAUUGGGGAUUGCCUGUGGAAACACAGGGUAAUACCGAAUACGACCUUCGGGGGAAAGGCGCUUCGGCGCCGUCGUACGAUGAGCCUGCGGCGCAUUAGUUAGUUGGCGGGGUAAUGGCCCACCAAGGCGACGAUGCGUAGCCGACCUGAGAGGGUGAUCGGCCACACUGGGACUGAGAUACGGCCCAGACUCCUACGGGAGGCAGCAGCUAAGAAUCUUCCGCAAUGGACGAAAGUCUGACGGAGCGACGCCGCGUGGGCGAGGAAGGCCGAAAGGUUGUAAAGCCCUUUUCUGCGUGAGGAAUAAGAAUCGGAGGCAAUGCCGGUUUGAUGACGGUAGCGCAGGAAUAAGCCCCGGCCAAUUACGUGCCAGCAGCCGCGGUAACACGUAUGGGGCGAGCGUUGUUCGGAAUUAUUGGGCGUAAAGGGCGCGCAGGCGGUCAUGCAAGCUUGGUGUGAAAGACCACGGCUUAACGGUGGAAACGCGCUGAGAACUGCAUGACUUGAGUUUCGGAGAGGGAACUGGAAUUCCAGGUGUAGGGGUGAAAUCUGUAGAUAUCUGGAAGAACAUCAGUGGCGAAGGCGAGUUCCUGGCCGACAACUGACGCUGAGGCGCGAAAGCGUGGGGAGCGAACAGGAUUAGAUACCCUGGUAGUCCACGCCGUAAACGAUGUGCACUAGGUGUUGGGCUUUCGAAGGCUCAGUGCCGCAAGUUAACACGUUCAGUGCACCGUCUGGGGAGUAUGCCCGCAAGGGUUGAACUCAAAGGAAUUGACGGGGGCCCGCACAAGCGGUGGAGCAUGUGGUUUAAUUCGAUGAUA